rfam:Hordeum vulgare subsp. vulgare, WGS project CAJW01000000 data, contig: morex_contig_161892
AUACUACUCCCUCCGUCCUAAUAUUCAUGUUUUAGAUUUGUCUAGAUAUAUUCAUAUCUAGUCAUGUUUUGAUAUUUAGAUACAUUCAUUUCUAAACAAAUCUAAAACAAGAAUUUUGUGACGGAGGGAGUACUAC